AGCGGCCGUCGGCGCCCGAGUGGCCGCCUGUGGGAGCAGCGCCGGGGGGGUCCCCAUGCCGGCUGUGGGAGCGGGUGGCCCCGUGGGGAGCUCGGGGUGCCCGUCCCACAGCCCCCGGUGUCCCCUUGGCGGUAUUCCUGCCCGCAGGACUGUCGUGCGCAGAGAUGCGGGACUGCAAACGGGGGUGUCUCGGCACGCCUGGAGCUCUACAGGCUGCACGAAUCCUUGUCGGUGACAGGCUCUGUGCUCCAGAGGGCAGCAGCGCUUCGCGCUCUCCAUCUCCAUAGCCCUUGGAUACUUUUUUACCUUUUCAAUUGCACUUUUACAGCUUUCUGUUAAGUAUCAGGGGUAAAUAAGAGAUCAGAUAAGCAAAGAUCCGUGCUUUGUCAUACAACUUCAUCCCUGCCACAGGUGUUCCCAGGGGAGUUAUUGAUCUAAACUGACUGAGGAGGACCCUGAUACCAAGUUUAGCUUCAUACAUCUCUGUCCUUUCCAACCUCAGUUGCAGUCUCCAGUAGCUGGUUUGCAGGAGCUUAAGUUUCAAGGCAGGUACCAUCAGCGGGGCGUGCCUACCUACCCAUAGGAACUAAUGAGUUCCGGUCCCCCGAAGUGCAUUUCCUGGUUCUGUCUCUUGUAGAGGAACUCAAACAAUUGCAUUUCUAGUAAUCACUUUCUCUUCCAUGCCCCCUGUCACUGAUGACUUUAAUGACUUGAAUGCUUUGCCCAUCCUUCAUUGUAAUGGCUUGUAGCUGGGGUUGGUUUUUUCCCAUGUGGCUAAUUCUUCUCCUAGAGAGAUGAACUUGUCAACUCUCUCUACUAUGUGCUUGUCAACUUGAAUUUCUUCUAUUAGCAAUGAGAUUUUAGUUUUCACCUAAGAACGUGCUCAUAACUGUAUGUUUUCUGAUGAAAACUGAGAUAUAGCUUAUGCACCACGAGUGAAGGGUGAUAUGAGCUGCAACACCCAGAGUGCAAGCACUGGCCAGCAGCUUUACAUGAAUGUAUGUGUUGAAUAAACAACCUCCUCGGGCCAGCAGCAAGGUGAUUCAGGCAACCACAGUGGAGUAACAAGGAGAGGAAAGAGGAAGAACAGAAGACGCUAGCAGAACCACGGUGGAAAACAGAGUCUUUUAGGUAACAGUCCCUCAAACUGAUGUGAUCUCCCCAGAACCUAGGAGCUCUCUGGAAAUGAAAGUUGAUUCUGCUCAUCCUGACAGCUUUGCUGAAUGCCAGCAGCUAUAAUGGCAGCUGUGUCAGUCAGAACAAAGGUCUGUAUAGCUCAGUGUCCUAACUCCAAAGCAGCCAGUUGCAAAAACCUGCAAAAGCUAUGAGAAGCUGGCAAACACUAUGAUGUUGCUUCUGUGCACUUCACAGUCUUCAGCAGGUUUGUGAUUCAGAUGCAGUUUCUGAGCACAUCGCAAUGUUACGCUGUCAAGGACUCCAGGACACCAAUAGGCCUGAAUGGCCCUGACCAGCCCUACCGUGGACCUCCCACCUCACUGCCCAUGGGCCCAGGAGCCCCAUUUCAGGUCAGCUGGGGCCUUCAGUCCCUCUCUGAGCUAUGCCGUAAGGGUGCCAGCCUCCAGCUCUCUCUCCAGCUCCUGGAUGGACCCCUUGGGUGUAUGCUGGGGCCUUGUCUCCAGCCCUGACCCUGCUGCUCCUCACUGGGUUCCCUGGUCCUGGUUCAGGGCUUGCUGUGCCUGGGGUUGUCGAUGGACCCUGUGACAGGCACCUGGCCCUGCCCGCCAUGCUCAGACCCCUUGGGAUGGUGCCGUGUCGCUGAGGGCACGACCUACGCAGGGCCCUUCUCCUGGGGAGCAGCCAGGCCUCACUGCUCCCUGACACCAGUUGCCUUUUCAAAUUGCUAACAAAUACUAAUGCUUGAUUACUUGUUAUCUUUAUAGACAUAGGCUGGGUCAUGAAAUGUAAUCUUUCUACCAGCUCUGGAUUUUAUUCUGAAAGGUGUACAAGAGAUAGGAAGGUCUUUACUUACUGUAAACUUGAUCAUUUGGGAGACAGAUCUAGCAGUGAUACAUGGCAAUGUUGUAACUUAAUGCUUCUUUUUUCAUGCUCCUGUUUCCAGUUAUUUGGGGAAUUUUGCUUGCAUAACUCCUAGACUGUUAGGAAAAAAAAAAAAAAAAGGAUUCAUAAUGUUCAGUUCCAAGGCUGCACAUACAGAGGUCAUUAACCAAGCAUUGUCAGAUGUUCAUAUUCCAGUUCCAUUUCUUCUGCUUUAACCUACCCAUCUUAGGAGACUCCCAAAACUUCACAGCUAUAUCUCCUGGGCAAAGGAAGUCUAUCUUCCUUUCUGAACACCAGAAAUUUCCCCCCAUUUUUUUGAGUUGUGGAAACUUUUCUUUCCCUUACAUUCUCCAGACUUUGUCUCCCAAAGUCUUAUGGGCCUCAGUAUUUUUCUGAAGAGUUCUCUGGGCAUCUGGAAACUCCCAGCUUUCUUUCCCAAGACACCCCUCUAGAUUGAAUAGGAACAACUGCCUGUUGCCAAAUUCAAAUAGUGAGCAUUCUUCCUUGAAUUUAGAAUGUUAUUUUUUUAUUGCUGAAGUUAACCAAAAGUGGUUCUAAAAUACACCAAAAGUGUGAUUGCUGCUGAAGUUUGCUUGCCUGUGGCAUCCACAAAGGGAAGCAGCAGCAGCAAAUAACUGUCAAUUCUGUGUUUUAAAACUGAUAAAAAGAGAAGGUGACCUUAUAUUUGGUGUAACUGAAGUUACUGCUGGAAUCUUCAGAGCAGAGGCUAGAAGAAUAUUGCUGAAAAGUUCCACUGACUACGUGAAGUCUUCCAGACCACUAGACAGACAUCACAAGUCAUGUUUGUAAUUUCAGACUUUGUUUUCUUAGACAUAUACAAAUGCAGAACUCAAAAAAGCAAAAACUCUUUCCUAAGAGAAUAUGCACACAAAUAUUUGCAUAGAAAACUGUUUCUAAGCAAUGCAUACACUAAGCAGUAUACUGGAGUUUUCUUUUUAACAUGAUUUUGCUCCAGUAACUGUAAUUAGGGAAGGAGAAGUUAAAUAUUUAAAGCAUUUUCCUUUGCAUUGGAAAUACUACAUGAAAAUAGCAGCAAGAGGUCUCAGGUCCAAACUGAACACCUGUGACUGUGUGCACCGUAUUCCUUUAUAAUAAGGACAGUCUUGGUCACAAAGCAUUUAAGACAACUUAAAUACAUGUUGGAAUACAGUGGACAUGAUGAGAGUAGGACUAAUCCAGUGAGGCAGUUGUAUGUAGCCUAAUUUAAUUAUAGUUUAGUACAGUUGAUAUUAAUGAGAAGAAUUUUAAGAUUUUCCUCAAUUAAUCUUAGUAGAAAAAUGGGUUUAAAUAAAAACUCCUUACCAAAGUACGUUAAAAGCAACAACUAUAGAGAAGGCUUAGUUACUUAAAAAUUAUAGUCUUCAAUGUCAAAUAACUCACUGUAUGCAUUUACAAGUUUUGGUUGUGGAUCACAAUAAUUUUAUUAGUGUUCAAAACUGUAGUUAUAACUGUCAUUAAAUAUAAAGCAUAAAAAUGUUAACAUGUUAAAGAACCAAAGUGGCAUCGUUGUGAAAGAGUGUUUUAAGUUUUUCUCUCUAUGUACAACCAGGGAUUAAAUCUGCAAACAUUUCUGAAAGAGACCAUAAGGGAGGCUCCUGGAAGGAGACUCAAAUACAAUCAGCUUUUUCUUUUUUUUUUUUUUUUUCUUCUAAACAACUAUUCCUUGGGCUGAAAUUCUUUAUACUUUCUUUCACCCCAUGAGAAGAAAAGCCAAACAGAACUUCUUAAGGAAAGGUUCAAGAUGUACCCUGUGCUUUUUAAAAACGGAGGAGUGAGUUUAGGCAGCGGGAGAGUCUGCUGCAGAUUGCUGCAUACAGCAAUUUCCCCAGUGACCGCUUCAUCCAUGUUGCAGACCACAGUGACAAACUGUGUUCAGUUGCAAGGAAGAGAGUGGGAAAAUCUGCAUCGGCUGGUAGGCGGUUUAUCAUGUUCUGCAUUUUUCCAGUGUUAAUGAGGCAGGAACCACGGCAAUGUAUCAAAAAUCAUUUGUGACUGACUGGCACACACUGGUCUGUGUUCGUCAACUGAAGUGAAGCAAGGAUGCAUAUUUCUAAAGAAAUAUUUAAAUAUAGUCAAAAGUACUUUGCUGUAGAUGCAGUGACGGAUUGUGGGAAGCUAGUACCAAAGGAGAAGCUGAGUUCUGCUUUAGUGAACAGCACAGUCUGCACGUUCGGGGAGCAACUGAAGAGGCUCCCAUCCAUCAGAUGCAUUGUUUGCUCUGACUCCUGAGGCGUUCAUCUGAGAACAUAAUCAGCCUUGUUAAAAGAAUACACUUUCAAGACUUAUUUGACUGAAUUGUUUUUGAAACUGGUUUAGUUGUUUUUUAUUGUUUUGUUUUGUUUUGUCUUUUUUAUUAUUAUUUUUGUUCCAAUAUUUAGCUAAUGAAUCAAAAUGUAAACUGUGCAAUUACUUCAAAGGAGACCACAUGUAACACAAUUAGCAAAGACACAAAUGUGGUCAGUGUCUAAGAUAAAUAAAAAUUUCAUAUGGAAUUUACAAGAGCUUUCAACACAAACUGUUCUCAUUAAGCUAGGGAUGGCAGCAAAAGACUUUGCUCAGCAUUUAUGAUAUCUCCAUAUGUUGAGUCUGAUUUUCAGCUGAUAAUUCCUCCAGCCUUUGCUUUUCCAGAUGAAGUUUUUCUUUCACAAAUAAUGAUACCCAUAUUCCUGUCCUACAGUCAGUUGCUGUACACAUGCUUGCAGCUAUGUAACUAACUUGGUAAUAAUUUGUAAUUAUACACGGUAUUUGGAUGACUUAAGUCCUUGUGAAGCAGAAACCUAAACACUUGAUCAGUUAAAAAAGAAGUAAGUUCCUUUAGAACAGAAGGGUUUUUUCCUGCCAUGGAGGAAGUGGAAGUGAGGAAUGCACUUUGUUAAAAGACACAGAAAUGCCUUAACCAAAUGAAGAAAACUGGUAUGGCAAC